GUCUGUAUGAAGUUAUAUAGAGUCUAACCUGCCCACUGAAUAAUUUAAAAGGCCGCAGUAUAUUAACUGUGCAAAGGUAGCAUAAUCAUUAGUUUUUUAAUUGAAGGCUUGUAUGAAGGGUUGGACAAAGAAAAAUCUGUUUCUAUAUUUAAAUUUGAAUUUAACUUUUAAGUGAAAAGGCUUAAGUAAAUUUAAGGGACGAUAAGACCCUAUAAAUCUUUAUAUUAAACUAUUUAAAAUUAAUUAAUACUGUAAAUAGUAAUAAAAAAAAAUAGUAAAUAUUAUAUUGGGGUGAUAAGAAUAUAAAUAAAUAACUGUUCUAAAAUUUAAACAAAAUUAUUUGUAAAUAAUAAUAGAUCCUUUUUAAAGAUUAAAAAUUUAAGUUACUUUAGGGAUAACAGCGUUAUUUUUUUUGAGAGUUCUUAUCGAAAAAAAAGUUUGCGACCUCGAUGUUGAAUUAAAAUUUCUUUGUGGUGCAGCCGUUACAAAAGAGAGUCUGUUCGACUUUUAAAUUUUU
rnacentral:rRNA from 1 species